UACGAAGGGGGCUAGCGUUGCUCGGAAUGACUGGGCGUAAAGGGCGCGUAGGCGGUUUGUACAGUCAGACGUGAAAUUCCUGGGCUCAACCUGGGGGCUGCGUUUGAUACGUGCAGACUUGAGUUCGGAAGAGGGUCGUGGAAUUCCCAGUGUAGAGGUGAAAAUUCGUAGAUAUUGGGAAGGAAACACCGGUGGCGAAGGCGGCGACCUGGUCCGAUACUGACGCUGAGGCGCGAAAAGCGUGGGGGAGCAAACAGG
rnacentral:rRNA from 1 species